GAAGAGAACUGGAAAGUUCCACCGUAGAAGGUAAUAGUCCUGUAAGUGAAACGAGAAGACCACGAGUUAUGAUCCAGAGUACCACGAGACACGUGAAACCUUGUGGGAAGCAGGGAGGACCACCUCCCAAGGCUAAAUACUACCUGAUGACCGAUAGUGAAGCAGUACCGUGAGGGAAAGGUGAAAAGAACCCCGGGAGGGGAGUGAAAUAGAACCUGAAACCGUGUGCCUACAACCGCUCAGAGCCCCUUAUGAGGGUGAUGAGGUGCUUUUUGUAGAACGAGCCAACGAGUUACGGUAUGUAGCAAGGUUAAGUACUUAAGGUACGGAGCCGAAGGGAAACCGAGUCUGAAUAGGGCGACUAGUUGCAUGCCGUAGACCCGAAACCGGGUGACCUAUCCAUGGCCAGGUUGAAGCGAGGGUAAAACCUCGUGGAGGACCGAACCACGUUGCUGUUGAAAAAGCAUGGGAUGAGCUGUGGAUAGCGGAGAAAUUCCAAUCGAACCCGGAGAUAGCUGGUUCUCUCCGAAAUAGCUUUAGGGCUAGCGUCGAGUAUGAGUAGUGGAGGUAGAGCACUGAAUGGGCUAGGGGGCAUAGCGCUUACCGAACCUUAUCAAACUCCGAAUGCCACAUACUUUGAGCUCGGCAGUCAGACUACGAAUGAUAAGAUCCGUGGUCAAAAGGGAAACAGCCCAGAUCGUCAGCUAAGGUCCCAAAGUGUAAGUUAAGUGGGAAAGGAUGUGAGAUUUCUAAGACAACUAGGAUGUUGGCUUAGAAGCAGCCAUUCAUUAAAAGAGUGCGUAAUAGCUCACUAGUCGAGAGAUCUUGCGCCGAAAAUGUAACGGGGCUAAACUUACCACCGAAGCUACGGGCUUGAACUUAGUUCAAGCGGUAGGAGAGCGUCGUAACCGGGCUGAAGUCGUACCGUAAGGAGCGGUGGACUGGUUACGAGUGAGAAUGUUGGCAUCAGUAGCGAGAUGUGGGUGAGAAUCCCACAGGCCGAAAACCUAAGGUUUCCUCAGGAAGGUUCGUCCGCUGAGGGUUAGUCGGGACCUAAGCCGAGGCCGAAAGGCGUAGGUGAUGGACAACUGG
rnacentral:rRNA from 1 species